CAGGACUUGAUGGUUGGGAACCAGAGAGUGUGAAGAUUAUCAGUCCAAAUUCGAGCCCUGUCACAUAUGACUUCAACACCUCCGCUCCCAAUGAGGAUUGGUACGGAGUCAAUUUGUGCCAGAUACAUCCUCCUCCUUCUCCAUUUGAACCUUCGCCUCCUUUUCCAAUUAAACCUCCGCCUUCUCCUCCAUCUUCUUCUCAUCAGCAUCGCGUUCCCGGAUUGUUCGGGCUCGUAAUGAUUCUGGGAUCCAUCCUGAGUGCUCUGUUGUAAGCGCCCUUGAUGGUUUGUUUGGUUUUAUGUAUGUGAUUCUGGGAUAGUCCUAAGUGUUUCUGUUAUGUGCUUGCAACUACUAUCUGCCGUUAUUUUGUCUGCGGCACGAUUGGUGCAAUAAUAUGUCAUGUUGUUAUUAGUUGUAAUAGGAUAUUUAUCCAUGUCUGCCGGAUAUUUUGUAAGCUUUAUAAUAGUUGUGAACCGUGCUUUUGCAGCUAUUAAUUAACUAAUGUUGUUUUGUUAUUAACUACUCUUUGCAUAGCCCCUUCAAGAUGGGGGUUUUAUUUCAUGAUCAAGAUUUUCCCUUGAUUUGAUUAUAUUUUGGGAUAAAAUUAUGUUGCAACUAUGGUAUGCUACUGCAGUUGUUUUCAGUCGUUAGAUGUACAGUUAUAUAGUUAUAUUAGUUGGAUCUAAUGAUUGAAAACAAUUGUAGUAUCAUAUUAUAGUUGUAACAUAGUUGGACCCCAAUUGCAUGAUUGAUAGUUUAUAAAAAAAAAAAAUUGAAUCUUCUUCAUUCACUAUCACUAAAAGACACAUUGAAAGAAGAUUUUAAAAAAUUCAUAAGAAAUCAGAUCAAGAAAUGAUCAUUUUCUUUCGUUUCAUGGCUUUGCCUUAAACGCAAUUGAGAGUGGCCUUGGGCUCUUGGACAUUUUAUUUAAGAAAGGUGCUGGAAUUAAUGGUGUUACUGGAGGCGUCGCUAAAAGCAAUCGGCUAUAAUUUACUUGGUUAUUGUUUCGCAGCAAAGCUCGUGUUUCUUGAUGUGUCGUCUGUGUGGCCGUUGAUUUCAAUUCUCGAUUACGUGUCAUCUCUGUUCAGUUGAGUGAGCUUUUUCUUUUUUGGUCCCCAUUGCCUACAGCCACGAAUUUGAAAAACGUAAGACAUGUCGUCAUGUAGACAAAUUUGAACGGUGACGGUGUAGUAGUGGAGCCGAUUGAGACACGAUAUCGACUGAUUAAACUUACUUUAUAUGGGAAUCUUGUGAAAUUUUUAAUUAUGAUUUUUUAGGGUGACGACAACUUAAUUCAUUUUUCUAUAGAUGCAUGAGUUGGUUUUGAAUCUUAGUGCUUUUGAUUUUUACAUAAAAUUAUAUUAUCUCAACUAAAUAGUCUAUACAGAUUACAAAUGUUAUAAGAAUAUACUUUUAAGUGUUGUGAGAUGUUUUCAUUACUAAUUUACUAGUACUAACUUUUUUUUUUCUAAAAGAUAAAUUAAUUAGCGUCCAAAAUAUUAUUGUAAGAAUAUUAUUAUAAAAAUUAAGGAAAAGUAAUUUUUUAAAAGAUAAAUUAAUUAAUGUUAAGAAUAUUAUUAUAAAGAUAUUAAUAUGAAAAAAAUAACAUAAUUAAUUGUAAAGACAUUUUAAAGUGUUGUUAAAAAUAUAAGUGCUUUGGGGUAUAAAAAAUAGUUACUUGAGUUCGAGGAGAAAGUUAUUUGGUCACAUGUGCAAGCGCGACCAACGUUCUGUUAGGAGAAUAGAAUCAGGUCGCAUGGCUUUGGUUAAUAUCUCAUAUUGUUGAGCUUCAUUUGGAAGCUCAUCCGUAACGUAUAUGCACGCUCUGCUUUAAUGUUUAAAGCACAAUCAGGCAUUAUAAUGGUUGCUCAACAACUAGAUAAAUUGAUAUAUUAACUCUUAGAUUCAAGUGGCAUACUCAAUUUGGUAAUGACCACGCAGUAAAGAACGAACAAUAACGCGCGACAUGCAUAGUUCUCUAUAAGAACUGGGGGAGAUCCAGAAAAUGGAUUUUUUUUGGGGUUUUGAUUAAAAAAAUAGAAUUCUAGAAAAAAUACAAAAUACUUAAAAUCACAAGUGUGACAUUAUUAUUUUCCUUACAAAGAAAAACCUGAUUGCUGACUUGAGCGUUGGAAGGUUUUUACUAGAAAAAAUACGGCGUCCCUGACAGUUUUCUGUUGUUGCAGAUCAAAGGAAAUGUCAGUACAAUUCAAAUUCCACUACAGUAUCAAGCGACAAAUGCCCCAUCAAAAUAAAUUAAAGUGUUGGCGAGACAAUUUGGUCGCCGACCGAAUUACGGCAUCAACAAUAAAAAUUAAAUAAGAACUUAAGUUAAAAUAUAGAAAUUAAAUAAAGAUUUAUCCUAAGUUUAGAUAUCAAAUUUACUACGGAUCUUUGAUGGAGAAAGUUACCAAAAGAAACAAAAAGUCCAAAUUUUUGUCUUCAAAAGAUAGUGCACCUAGAUUGACCCUUAUAUACUAGAAGAAAGAGAUGGGAUUGAUUAUCCUUCACACAAGCUUCAAGAUAAUUCUUUUUAACCAAAAAAAAAAAAUUGUAAAAGGGAUUAAGAUGCGUAAAAUACAUUUUUUUCCCCCAAAAUUGCGUAAAAUACUUGAUGAAAACAUGCAAGGCAGUGGAGUCAAACUCAAUCGAGACACUGAGUCAGAUAAUUUGAUAGUAUGGUUCACCAUUGUCGACGUCUGCAUGUUUUGUCAAAGAAUGACUCCCAACCGUUUUCCAACAGAAAAACGGGUGUAGUUGGCACUAUUGGUUAUUAAUUAUUUAUUAUUUUACAUUUUCUAAUUGAUUAUUUUAUCAGCUUCCACGUGUGGGUAAGUAUAGUAGAAUAUCAUUGAGGCUCUUUGAAAAAAAAAAAGAAAGUAUAUGCACCUAAUUUCGCUUGAGUAUCUAAUUUAACCAACCAAUUGUGGACCAUGAUAGCCUAGUCUUCUUGAUGUUACAGCCAUUAAAUUGCCAAUCGGUGCAAGCGGUUUUUUUUUUUUAAUAGUAAAUGAUUUCAUUUCCAGUAAAACACAAUAAUUAUAAUAAAAUUUCGAUCUUUAUUGGGACCUCUUCGAUCCACACUCGAGGUGUUGAAAUGAAAAAAGUUAUUUUUUUUCUAAAGCAUGGGCCACUAAGUUAUAAGACCUAAAAGUAUAAGCUAUCUGAUAUUGAUUAUUUUGUUCUAUCAUAACUCUAAUAUCAUAAAGUAUCCAAUCUAACUCUUCUCUACUAGAAGUACCAUUGAGAAUAAAGUUGACAACAUUCUUGGAAUCAUACCCUAUAAGAAGAGGAGAAAGAGCAACAUCCACUGCCAACUUUAUUCCUUCUAAAAUCACUGAAGCUUCCGUAAUUUCUACAUCUCCUAAGCAAGGUUUCUUUGAUGUUGCAGCAGCCAUUACGGCUCCUUGAUAAUCUCUGAGAAUCGGUGCAAGCGGUUUUGGCUCAAAAUGCUUGCUGGUCUUCUAGAAUCUCAUACUUAAUUGACUAGAGAAGUGGAUAGACCUUCACUACCAAAGGGUCACACUACCUCCUCCUUCGAAGUUCAUUUCUCUAGGAUAAUUAUACUUGAUUUUUUUUUCUAGGGAAAGAUUCAUUGGGAUAAAAACCCAAGCAGAAGAAAUAGAAUUUAAUAACUCAUAAUGUAGUGCCUAACGUGCUUCGAUUGUGAUGUGAUUAUGUAAAGCACAGAGUUAUAAUCAUGGACCAACUUGAAAUAUUACACUAGAAACUACUUCCACUUGGGUGAGAUAUUAUGCUCUUUAAGCAAUAAUUUCGUAUCAGUUCAAACAAUAACCUUGAUUGUGUUACUGAGUCUCAUGGCUUUUAGAUAAGUUAUUGAGGUAUAUGGCUUGUAGAUAAAUCACCGAUGAAGAAUAAUUUUCACCGAAAAAUACUAUAGGCUUCAAAUUCAGACUUUGAUGGAUUUGCUAUCUUCAAUUGAUCUUUAGGGGUUUUGGAAUCUUCAAAUGCAUGGCUUUAUAUGUGUGUAAGAAUAUUCAAAUUCUGUCUUCAUUCUGUCGGGUUUUCCUUGCAAUAUUAGUAACAAAUAAAUUUAAAUAAAAAAAACACACAAUAACUAGCCUCAUUUUGUUUAAUGUAGAAGAUCCAAAUUAAUAUGACAAUGAUAGAGAAUACGUAUAAUUAAAUAAACUAGUAAAAUAAAGAGUAGGGUAUAAGAUACUUUCUAUACCCGAGCAAUAAUCAUAUUGAUAACAUGUUAUAAUGUUGAUGAAUUUGGGUAGGAAGCAUUUAACAAUUUUAAUAGAUAAUAUAGAUGAUAUAGAGAUAAGGGGGCUGUGUCAUAUAAAUACAAAGCAUUUUUCUCCCACGCUUAAUUACGGUUGCGUUUAGAAUUGAGGUUAUUCAGUAGUAACUUAAAAGUGACAACACUAAAGUGUUUGGUAAACAUUAGCUGCUAUAGUUUGUAAGCUAUAUUGAUAUGAUUUUUCACUUGUAUAAUGAAAAGUUUAUUAUAUAUUUAAUAAUUUUGUCAAAAUAAUUAUUUAAAAUUUAUAUUUACUAUAUAUUAUUAACUUUUGUUUAAUAGUUAUAAAAUCUUUUUCACAGCAACUAUAACUUAAAAACUACAACACCUCAAUCCCAAACGGAUCGGUUGUCCAAUUUCAAUUCCUGUCUCACUAGAAUAAUAAGCUUAAUUAAGUGUUCAGCUCCUUAGCUUUAUAUCAUAUAGCCCCCUUAUCUCUGUAUCAUAUAUAUUAUGCAUUAAAAUUAUUAAUAUAUUCCCUACCCAGAUUUCUCUCAGAUUUGAUCGUGCGAUCUUCAAAGUCAAAAACUUUUAAAAAAAGAAAAUAGUCCGCGUACCUAAACUCAAUUUUUCUAUGGGUGAAUCUGACCCGUAGGAAAAAUAGUACAAACAUCUAUUAUGAUAACGAUACAUUUGAGGACGAUGGCCAAAUAUUUUAUUUUGGUGAAGAUAAGGUUAUAUAUAUUUUAGUGGGACUAUUGUCAUGAAUUUUUAAUCUAUUUAAGAUCUUGCAAAUUAAAAUAUCAAAUAAAAAACAAACAAACAAUAAAAUCAAUCAUAUAAUAUAAGAAUUUGCAUGAAAAAAUCAUAUAUUAAAAAAAACUAUAACUACAAAGAACAAUAAGAGAAAAAUCUAUUAUGUGAAAAAUUAUUAUAAUCAGUUUAAUAUUUUUUUCACAUACAAAAUACUAAUAAUAUCCUAUCUUUCAAUAGAUCUACCAUUUUUCUUAUACUAAAAACUGUUUAUUUACAGAGAAAUUGAGUGAUUUACAAGUGAACCCAACUUCUACAUUUAUAGUGAUUAUUUAUUGUACAAGUAAUAUUCAUUUUCUUAGAAGAAUUAUAUUCAGUCAUUGAAUAAGUUAAGUACUAAAACGAAAAGACUCAUUAAAUAAUAUUUUACUUCUCAUUUGAAGUAGCCACAUUAUUAAUAAAUGUUCAAAAAAUUAUACAAAAGAGAUUUUUCAAGUUAGAGCAUCACCAAAAGACUCUUCAAAUAAGAUUUUAUUAAUUAUUUGAAGAGCCACCUCAAUAUUUAAGGCUCCAAAAGACAUUCCAAUUAAGAUUCUUCAAAUAAGAAAUGAUUCUCUCUCUUCAAAUUUGGAGAGUUGAUUUCUCCCUCUUCAAUUUAUAUUUUAUUACUUUUCAUUGAAGAAAGAGAGAGAAGUGCUUUAAUUACUAUUGACUUUUCCUUUAAAAAAAUAAUUAUUUGAUUAAAAUAAUAUUAACUUAUUUCUAUUUGAAGAGUCUUUUGGAGAAUAUCAUAUUUUUUCACCAUUCUAUUUGCCACAUAGGUAAGCAAAUAAGUAUUUGAAGAGUAAAAUUUAUAGAGGCUUUUGGAGAUGCUCUUAGAUUGUCAUUCUCUCUUCUCAAUAUUAAAGAGUGACUUUUAUUUUCAAUUAAUAUUAUAUUAUUUUUUAUCUCAUUAUUAUUAAAAAAAUAAGUACUAUAAUUACUAUUAUUAUUAUUUUGGUUGAGAAAAUAAUUUAAUUAAAAUAAUAUUAAUUUAUUUUUAUUUAAAGAGUUUUUUAAAGGAUGUCAUAUUUUGUUAGGUAAAUAAAUAAGUAUUUAAAAAAUAAAAUUGGAAUAGUUUUGGCUAACGCUCAGUUGCUUAUAGAACAUGGCCGGCCGGCCACUACUCACACAGUGAAAAUAGUUAAAAGACAGAUUUGCCCUUAAGAGCGAUGGAACGUCGGGGAUUUGUAAAUUUCCCAAAAAACACAGGCUUGCUAACUUUUUAUUCACCCCACACGAUUCAACUACCCGCAGGCUGCGGCAACAUUAGCAUAUUUAAACAAGGUUUCUGGGGAAUUGAAUAAAAAAUUAACAGGAAAAAAGAAAAAAAAAUCGAAAAUCGAAAAUCGAAAAUGAAAAUCGCAGCUCCCAUUCUGCUUCUGUUGGCCUUUGCGUUCACGCUAUCUGAAGCCGAAACGACGAGCUUGCAGCUGAAGCCUCGAGCUUUCGAGUCCUUUAACGUUAGUUAUAUUCAGGUACCGUAGUUAUUAUUUUAUCUCUCUCUCUUUUUUUAAUAAAUUUAUUAUUUUUUGAGUAGUUGUUGAUAAUCGUUUAAUUUUUUAACCAAAAAAUAGAACCUAGGGAGCUGUUCUUACACGGUGGUCAUAACUACCAGCUGUUCCUCAAGCAAGUACACUCGCGAUCAGAUCAGUAUUGCUUUUGGAGAUGCUUACGGCAAUCAGGUUUUCAAUUUUAUUUUUUUAAAUUUAAAAGUAUCUUUUAAUUUCUUCAGUUUUUAAAUCAGUGUUUUUGUCCUUUUUUUUUUUAAUGGUGAUUCUGGAUUUCAUUUUUAGGAAGGAAAUUGAUAAUUAGAUUUUUGUUUGCUUAAAUGGAAAGUGAUGACCAGUGAUGUAGAAAUUUUUAUGUAUUUAACUGUAGGCUUUUUAAUUUCAUUUUAUUUUUGAGAGCAGAGCAGAGAAAGUAUAUUAGGGUAAAGUUCAGUUGGCUGGAGUUAAUAAAUGCAUGGAUGUAAGAUCAGUUUGGGUUUGAAUUGCAGUGGUUUUAGUCAACAAUUGCUGUGAAAUUGAAUCACUUGUCGUUAAGUUAUAAAGUUGGCGAUUAGCAGUUGAGUAAACUUCAGUUGUGCCUUUUAAAUUAAGUUCAAGCACAACAACCAGAAAUGGGCUCGUAGUCUUAGUCUUUGCAUUGGGUUCUUUUCAUUUGAGAUCCUGUUCCUGGGCGAAAUGCUUUUGUGCUCUUGAAGGAGAUAUUUGUUUAUUUCAGCUUAACACUAUAAUACAAGUAGACCACAAUGCCUAAUUGAAAAUGUUUUGUUCGGACCCAGAAUAGUCUCAAACUUGUAAACCAUCGUUGCGGUGGGGGGCACCUCCUUAGCUCCUUGCCUUCUUCUCAUGAUUGAUGGUUUGAGUGUCCCAGUUUGUUGUGCUAGUGUUUUCUUUGAAUUUCCUGAGUUCACUUUGAAGUAUGCUUGGCCAGAGCACAUAUCAAACUUCUUAUGAAAGUUGAACUAAUUUAAGGGAUUUUGAGUGGAAUUCUCGUAACCUAUUAGUAGAUGUGUUGUUGCUCCAUAUUAAAUACAACAGAAAGCAAUUCUUUAUGUAAUGCAUUCAUUUUGUUUCUAAAGGUCAGGUUUAUCUAGAAAUAUAAAACUACACUAUUCUUAUAGUCAAAUGUGGAUUACUAAUAUAUUUGAAACAUUUGUAAUCAGAUUUAUGCACCAAGACUUGAUGAUCCGUCUACCGAUGCAUUUGAAAGUUGCUCCUCUGAUACAUUUGAGAUAAGAGGACCAUGUGCGUAUCAAAUCUGUUAUGUGUAUUUGUAUCGAACUGGACCGGAUGGUUGGAAACCAGAGAGUGUGAAGAUUUAUGGUGCUAAUUCGAGAGCUGUCUCAUUUUACUACAACACCUUUAUUCCCAGUGAUAUCUGGUAUGGAUUCAAUCUGUGCCGAAGUGCUUCUUCUGCACAUCAACAACAUGUACCCAGAUGGUCUGUGUAUG
rnacentral:lncRNA from 1 species